GCGGCGCUGGACAGCCUGCAGGAGGAGCGCGACCGACGCGAGGCCCGGCCGGCCUCCGACGGCGGCCUGGAGGAGGACCGGCUGCGACUGCAGCUGCACACCGCCCAGCUGCGGGUCAAGGAGCUGGAGAACACCAUCGCCUCCAACGAGGAGAACGCCAAGCUGGGCACGCUGAUGAGGGAGCGGCUGGCGCAGUUCCCGCAGCUGGAGGCGCAGAACCGAGCCAUGAGCGCCGAACUCAAGUCGUUGAGGCACAUGGUCGACCGGACGUUGGUGCUGGAGGAGCAGCUGGCGGUGCUGCAGCCCAAGGUGGAGAGGUUCGAUCAGCUGCAGGCUGAGCUGGCCACCGCCCAG